rnacentral:rRNA from 1 species
CCCUAGUAACGGCGAGUGAAGCGGCAACAGCUCAAAUUUGAAAUCUGGCCCUCGCGGUCCGAGUUGUAAUUUGUAGAGGAUGCUUUUGGUGCGGUGCCUUCCGAGUUCCCUGGAACGGGACGCCAUAGAGGGUGAGAGCCCCGUCUGGUUGGACACCAAGCCUCUGUAAAGCUCCUUCGACGAGUCGAGUAGUUUGGGAAUGCUGCUCUAAAUGGGAGGUAUAUGUCUUCUAAAGCUAAAUACCGGCCAGAGACCGAUAGCGCACAAGUAGAGUGAUCGAAAGAUGAAAAGCACUUUGAAAAGAGGGUUAAAUAGUACGUGAAAUUGUUGAAAGGGAAGCGCUUGUGACCAGACUUGGGCUUGGUUAAUCAUCCAGCGUUCUCGCUGGUGCACUUGGCCGGCCCAGGCCAGCAUCAGUUCGGCUCGGGGGAUAAAGGCGUCGGGAAUGUGGCUCCCCCGGGAGUGUUAUAGCCCUUCGUGCAAUGCCCUGAGCCGGACUGAGGUUCGCGCAUCUGCAAGGAUGCUGGCGUAAUGGUCAUCAGCGACCC